UUUGCCUUGAAACUACAUUCAAGCAACAGGGUGAGACUAGUCUCUUUCAGCAGUAUGGAAGGGCUUUAUAAGCACUCAUAUAACAGCAGCUCUCUUUUUGGUCUGUUUUCACAAGCCUGUGAUGCCUACAUCUGUAUCAAGACUUAGGUUCUUUGGUACUGUGCUGCUUCUGGCGGUGUGAGGUAGCUCUUAGAAUCGCUCUAUAGAGGUCUGGUAAGCAUGCUACGUCCCACAUUCUGUCAUGAAUCACAGCUUGUUCUCAUCCAGCUCUUCCCUGUGGUCUGCAUGGCUAGCAUUCAACAAGAGUGUGCUAUACAGAAGAGUCGUUGAUCCAAGGAAACUGAGGAUUCAUACAGUUUCUUACUACUGUGGAUGUUCCAGAGAUGUGACUACCUCCCAGAACUUCACAGGCCUCUUGUUUCAGGUAACUGGCGUACGAGCAGAUGUGAGGAUUCAGCCAUAAGUAUUAUAUGAAAGUAAUUAUCAUAGACUCUGCAUAGCCUGUACAUGGAAAGCCCCUUCAGCUAUGAUGGAUCCAGACAGACAUGCUUUUGUUUUAACUUCCUGUAGUGAUGACAUAGCUGGCUGGUUGCUUUCUGGAGCAAGGGAGUAAAAUACCUGAAGACAUACAAUGCUUGCUACUUCUAAGAUGGGUUCUAUGGCCUACUGAGGAAAAACAAAUG